GCCCUGUGGUUCCUGAAAGCUGUUGUCUCAAUACAGUGUUUCAGUUGAUAGAAAUGGGCCAAAAAUAAUACUCUGGCAUAUGCAUGGAGCCUGAUAUUUUAGCAGCCUCCAUAGCCCGGUCAUUGUUACAUUG